AGAAGGAGUUUCAAUUCCUCUGUGGCAACCUCAGUCUGGAGCAAUGCAAUUUGGUCUGCCCCUGUACCGGCUUCAACUGCAGGAACUUCCGCACCUGCUUCCGCCCAAUCGGGGAACUCCCUCAGGUCUUUCUCCUCCCUCCAGAUGGUUGUAUCCAUUGCUGAUCUCAUCUCCAUGGGCUCAAUCAACUCUGGAACUCACUUCCCUCUGAUGGACUCACUCUAUUAGUUUUCUAAAAUUUUCAAAACCUUCAUCUUGAGAUUUCCAUGCCAAUCCUAAUGAAUGCAUGAUUUUAUUUACUUUUGUAAUUUUACUGUAUUGUCUUGUUUGUGUAGUUGUUUUGUAUGUCUUGUUUUUACUUGUAAGGCAGCCUUGGGUGCCCAGAAAGAUGCCAUUUAAAUAAAAUGUGUUAUUUCAGGGAUUGGGCUGAGUAAGAUACAAAAAAUUGGAAUCAAACAAGUGGACCAAGAGACUUUUCUGGUGUGAAUACUUCCCUAAAAUUCAGUAAUUUCAGGAAAACACCAAACCUAACUUCAUACAGUAAUCUUUUGAUAGGAAUUGUUAGCAUGGAUUGCAGAUAGUUUCUCUUUUUUAAAUUGAUCAAAAAGGGUUGAAAAGCUUUAGGCUGUUGGUUGUGAAGAGGGAUUGUGGUUUUGAUGCAAUAUCACCAGAAAAAGACACAAAAAAAAUAAAUAAAUAAAAAAA